AAUUUUGAGGUAGUAUGGCUUACCAAGGCUAUGACGGGUAUCCGGCCUGAGAGGGUGAACGGACACACUGGAACUGAGACACGGUCCAGACUCCUACGGGAGGCAGCAGUAGGGAAUAUUGCUCAAUGGGGGAAACCCUGAAGCAGCAACGCCGCGUGGAGGAUGAAGGUUUUAGGAUUGUAAACUCCUUUUGUUAGAGAAGAUAAUGACGGUAUCUAACGAAUAAGCACCGGCUAACUCCGUGCCAGCAGCCGCGGUAAUACGGAGGGUGCAAGCGUUACUCGGAAUCACUGGGCGUAAAGAGCGCGUAGGCGGGAUAGUCAGUCAGGUGUGAAAUCCUAUGGCUUAACCAUAGAACUGCAUUUGAAACUACUAUUCUAGAGUGUGGGAGAGGUAGGUGGAAUUCUUGGUGUAGGGGUAAAAUCCGUAGAGAUCAAGAGGAAUACUCAUUGCGAAGGCGACCUGCUGGAACAUUACUGACGCUGAUUGC
rnacentral:rRNA from 1 species